UAGCCUUCCUCUCUCAAGUCUUUGUCAAACUUCUAGCAAAGCAACUCCUGUCCAAACUAUAUUUGAAGCUCUUCUGCAGGAGCCGCGGGGCCAAACUGAUUGGGAGGAUCGUUAGCAAACAACCAAGGGAACCAGUAGAACUUACUUCCUUGGAAAGAUGUUUCGAAAAGGAAAGGUCCAGAGUGAGGGCAGUGCCCUUCUUAGAGGCAGAGCAGUGAACACAGUGACCUCCAGGAUGAAGGAGAGUGGGUGGGGUUGGCUGGAAAAGCAAGACAGCCUGCAAUUUAGUGGGUGGAUUGUUGGAUUUGACGUGAGUUCUUCUUGGCUACUUGGGAUGGAACUUUUGUUUUGGAGUUUGGAAUGAGCUCAGAGACUGACAAAAACACAGGGAGGAGGCGGGAGGGAAGGAGGGAACCGGGGGCAUUGUGGAAUUCGUACAAGCUGGCUGCAUGUUCCCUGGCCUCUCUCUGCGUUUCUUUAAGCACCUCCCCUGCACCAAGCGCCUCCUUUGGGAGAGACUGUUUCCUAAUUCAACUGAGAUUCACAGACCCAGGGCCCUUGUUAGGAAAUGUCCUCAGGAAAUGCUCUUGAAAUAGGUGGCUUCCCUGGUAUCUCCAUACUUCGCCUGUAGGUCCACUUUCACUCAUCUUCAGUGAAAGCAGGAAGGGCCCAAGGACCACCCUGCAUAACAAAGUUGAAGGAAACAGGAAUGCUCAAAAGCACUGCCCAUCUCCGACCCUGCCGUUCACAGCUUCCUCACCUGGGAUUGUUGCUCAGCGUCCAUGGAUGGACUUCAGAGGCGUGUGUGACAUUUUCCUGAGGUUGGCUGGACAGAAGACACAAUUCUUGAGGUUCAAGGAACUGCUAAAGGAGAACUGUGGCCCCCACGAGUCUGUGAGUCUAGUGAACUGGAAUGUUGACACGUUAUGCUAAGUGGUAUCUUCAAGAAGUCUGUGGAUAGAAAGAAGCAGCAGAAGCUGGAGAUCCUUCUUACCGGUGGCAAGGUCUGGGGCUUUUGGAAGUGCCUACGAGCAGUGCCAUCCUAAUCUGAGUGCAGACAGAUGGGCCUCUCCUCUGAAACCAGAGACUGAGUUUGGGUACCCAGCGAUCCUUCCUGAAAUUUCCCCCACAGCAAUAGGAGCCUAUUUCCCACACACUGAGUCUCUCCAGCUCUUCAAGGAGCCUAAACACAAUCUGGCUGCUGUUGGGUGCAGGGCACUGGAUCAGGGGAGAAGAGCUUGAUGACAGUGGGUGGGUAGGAAAGGCUAGGGAAGAAGCUGUGGCUUCUAUGGCCCAAGUGUCAAGUGUGUAAGGCCUUGAUAUUGUAAAAAUCCCAGCUGUACAAUUCUACCCGUUUUCCCUACGAGGCCAGAGAGCUUGAGUGACGCACCAAAAGACACCUCGCUCACGGAGCUGGCUUCCUGUCCCGGCGUACCCUGACUUUUGCCCCAGUCAUACCCCCUUUGUAAUCAGCUCUGAGUUGAGGUGGGUGCCCAGAUGCCCAGCAUUAUGAGAUCAUGUCUUAGGCACAGUAGCUUUUGUGUGCUCCCCAAAUUCCUUCCACUUGCCUGACUUGUCCAGUGACUUUAAAGUAAUGCGGCCGCCAGAGCUGGCUCCUCCAUCCUCUGAGAUUCGCUACGGGAUGUUUGCUGAAAAAUUAUCUGUCUCCAGCUUGUCUGUCCUGUGCUCAGUUUUUCUUAGCCAUCACAACAGCCCCUGACCUACAGGCUCCCUGAGCAGCACCUCCUCCCACAAGAGGCAC
rnacentral:lncRNA from 1 species